rnacentral:tRNA from 1 species
GGAGAGGUGGCUGAGUGGACGAAAGCGAUUUCCUGCUAAGAAAUUAUACGGGCUUAAACCCGUAUCGAGGGUCCGAAUCCCUCCCUCUCCG